UUAGCUGUAAAAUAUUAACCUACACCCCAACCACCCGGGAAUUACGAGCCCAAGCUUAAAACCCAAAGGACUUGACGGUGUCCUAUCCCCCCUAGAGGAGCCUGUUCUAUAAUCGAUUCCCCCCGAUCUACCUCACCACUUCUUGACCCACCACCCAGCCUGUAUACCUCCGUCGCAAGCUUACCGUGUGAGCGCACCCAGUGAGCUAAAAGAUAUUUCACCCAUACGUCAGGUCAAGGUGCAGCCUACGAAGCGGAAAGAAAUGGGCUACAAUCUCUACUUUAGAACAAACGGAAAACUGUGUAAAACACAGUUACUGAAGGCGGAUUUAGUAGUAAAAAGAAAAUAGAGUGUUCUUUUUAACCAGGCACUGGGACGCGUACACACCGCCCGUCACCCUCUUCAAACAAAUCAAAAAGUUACUAACACCACUUAAUCAUACAGAAGAGGCAAGUCGUAACAUGGUAAGCGUACUGGAAAGUGCACUUGGAACAAAAUGUAGCUUAACUAAAAGCAUCUUGCUUACACCAAGAAUAUGCCUGCAAAACCCUGACCAUUUUGAGCUUAACUUACAGCCCCCCCCAUAAUAUAAUCUUCUUUUCCCAUAAUAAACUAACUAAAACAUUUUCUUAGUCAAGUAAAGGCGAUCAAAAAACUUCUAGGAGCCCCAACAACAGUACCGCAAGGGAAUUAUGAAAUAAAAAUGAAAUAAAUUUAAAGCACUAUAAAGUAGAGAACCCCCUCGUAC
rnacentral:rRNA from 1 species